UGGCCAGACUCCUACGGGAGGCAGCAGUGGGGAAUAUUGCACAAUGGGGGAAACCCUGAUGCAGCAACGCCGCGUGGGUGAAGGAGCGUUUCGGCGCGUAAAGCCCUGUCAGCGGGGAAGAAGAAAGACGGUACCCGACCAAGAAGCCCCGGCUAACUACGUGCCAGCAGCCGCGGUAAUACGUAGGGGGCAAGCGUUAUCCGGAUUUACUGGGUGUAAAGGGUGCGUAGGUGGCAGGGCAAGUCAGAUGUGAAAGCCCGGGGCCCAACCCCGGUACUGCAUUUGAAACUGUCCGGCUGGAGUGCAGGAGAGGUAAGCGGAAUUCCUAGUGUAGCGGUGAAAUGCGUAGAUAUUAGGAGGAACACCAGUGGCGAAGGCGGCUUACUGGACUGUAACUGACACUGAGGCACGAAAGCGUGGGGAUCGAACAGGAUUAGAUACCCCCGUAAC
rnacentral:rRNA from 1 species